GGAGCCUACGGGGGGCAGCAGUCGGGAAUAUUGCGCAAUGGAGGAAACUCUGACGCAGUGACGCCGCGUGCAGGAAGAAGGUUUUCGGAUUGUAAACUGCUUUAGACAGGGAAGAAAAAAGACAGUACCUGUAGAAUAAGCUCCGGCUAACUACGUGCCAGCAGCCGCGGUAAUACGUAGGGGGCAAGCGUUAUCCGGAUUUAUUGGGUUUAAAGGGUGCGUAGGCGGACUGUUAAGUCAGCGGUAAAAGCCCGGGGCUCAACCCCGGCGAGCCGUUGAAACUGGCUGUCUU
rnacentral:rRNA from 1 species